GGAGAUUGCAGUGAGCUGAGAUCGUGCCACUGCACUCUAGGCUGGUCAACAGAGCGAGACGCCGUCUCAAAAAUGAAUGAAUGAAUAAAUGAAUGAAUGAAUGAAAGCUUAUUCAUCAUGAAUGAAAUAAGCCAUCAUUAGAAUGUGCCCUCAUACCCUACAUCCCAUAAAUAAGGCUUAUUAAGCCCAUUUCACGGCUAACAGGCUACAUUUUAAUAAUAUAAUCAAUGAAGAAUUCAGGUGACUGCCAUAUAGAGAAAUCUAAUCAUUUAAAAAUUUUUAAUAUUUAAAUGUUUAUGGUAUACAUUAAGGAGGGAACAUGGCUAUGACCAACUCUUGACAAGCAGCUGUUAAAACUUUGGAGUUUCAGGCUGGGCGCGGUGGCUCACUCCUAUAAUCCCAGCACUUUGGGAGGCCGAGGCAGGAGGAUCACUUGAGGUCAGGAGUUUGAGACCAGCCUGGCCAACAUGGUAAAACCCUGUCUUUACUAAAAAUACAAAAAUUAGCUAGGCAUGGUGGCACACGCCUUUCUCCUGCCUCGGCCUCCCAAAGUGCUGAGAUUACAGGCAUGAGUCACUGUCCCUGGCAUGAAUUCCUUUUUAAGGAUUCCAAGUCGGGACACCCAGGGGGCAUAGUUUUAUGGGCCAUGGAUUAAUUAAGGCUAAUUAAUCCCACUGAGCCAUUUUAGGAAAUAUCUUUACUAUAUUUAUGUUAUUCCUGUUAACUCAAUAACAUUGUAAACAGCUAGGUAUGAAGCCAUAAUUUUAAGGCUGACAAAAAGAAACAGAAUUAAGUUCCCAAGAAAAACUAAAGAUUAUCUAGGACUUUAUUUUUUCUAGUCAUGUUCUUAAAAUAAUAACAAGCUCAAAAUUUGAAGAAGCGUUAUUAGAAUUUGUUUAGAGGAAACAAAACUGCCAAACUGAAACAUUUACUUUAAAAUGGAGAAGUACUGUGAUUCUACUGAAAGGGAAAUGCUUUCUGAAAGUUUUUGAAUUUGAGUAAAACACAUUUAGUUAAAUCUGUAGUUAGAAACUGAUACAGAAAACUCUAAAUAUUUGCUAUCCAAGUAGUUCCAACCUGGCACACAUACGCAGCUUCUCAUUUUGUGGGAAGAGAUACAGAGGCAUGAGUAACUGCUUUGUCCAGCUUGUUGUAGUAUGCCUGUAUUUAAAAAUUAAAAGCACUGGUGCUAAGAUGAUCUUCAUAUGAAAUGUAUAGAUCAACUAGUAAAGUACAAUUUGGCAUUAGUUUGCUAGGACUGCCAUAACAAAGUACCACAAGUUGCGUGGCUUAAAACAACAGAAAUUGAUUCUCUCAUAGUUCUGGAGGCUGGAAAGUCCUUAAUCAAGGAGUUGGCAGGGGCAUGCUCCCUCCAAAGGAUCCAGGGAAGAAUCCUUCCUUGUCUCUUCCAGUUUCUGGUGGUUGCCUGCAAUCCUUGGCAUUCCUUGACUCAUAGAUGCAUCAUUCCAGUCUCUGCUUCCGUCAUCACAUGUCAUUCUCUGUGCGUGUGUGUCUGUGUAUUUACAUGACCUUCUUAGAAGGACACCAGUCAUUGGACACCCUAAUCCAGUAUGACAUCUUCAUAAUUAAUUACAUCUCCAAAGACACUUAUUUCCAAACAAGGUCACAUUCUGCAGUUCUGGGUAAACAUAAAUUUUGAGUGAAGGACAAUAUUCAACCCAGUACAGCAUGGAAAACUGAUUUAACCCUGAAUUAAUUAUUUACAUGUGAGUGCAAAUUACACAAAUCUAAUAUAAAAUAAUGAAAUGUUACCCUGUCAUCCAUUAAUUAUGCUUUCUUGGAAAUUGGUGUGUUAAAGUGUUAUUUAUGUCUUGUAAUGAUACUUUGAAUCAGAGUUGGAAUUUGUAUGUGAUACAUUGAAAGGUCAGUGGGUGGGUGAGUUUUUGAUGGACUGAAAAACCACGUUUUUCAGAUAAAAAGCAUUUCACAAAUAUUAUUUGGUAGUAGUUUUCAGUCUUCUCAGUUUCUAGUAUAAAUUUUCCUAUUAAAAGAAUAACUAUUUAGUUUGUAAAUCACCAGUGUUACAAAGCAUUGUUAAAUGACACAUCUCUCUGCCAAACUUUGACAACUAAGUUUUAAAUAUUAACUGGCCAUCUGUCAUACCUCUGAACAGCUGUUAGCAUUUGUUACUCACUGCUGUUUCCAUAGUAAAUGCCCCACCUAAUUAAGAUUAUUUUUGUGGGAAGUCUCAAAAUUAUGGUUUCUGAAAAUAUAAUGGGUGAUUAGAUUAAUAUAGCAAUUUAUUGAUGGAUUUUUAAAAUUGUAGUAGCAAUUAAUUUAGAAGUCUUUAUAAUAUUAAUUUAUAAGUAGACUUUUAUAAUAGACUUAGUAACUUUUAAAUAUUUCAUUAGCAAUUAACUGAUACUUGGAAUCUUUCAUAUUUUGUAUGGCCAACAUCUUUAUUAUAAUUUUUUACUGUUUAGGGAGAGUUAGCAUUUUUCCCUCUGGCCUGGAGUUAGCCAUGGAAAACUACAAUUCUUGAUUUACUAUUUUGCUUUUUUGAGAUGACAUUAAAUUAGUAGCCAUAUUUAGAAGAGCUUAUUUUUAGAACUCAGAAGUUUCCUAAAGGAAAAAGGUGGAACUUCUACAAUAAUCUGGUGAUAAUGUUUUUGAGCAAUUUGGGGUCUGAGAAGUAAGUUAAAUACAAUGUUAGGUUUGGAUAUUUGAAGAGAUUGCCAAUCAGGAAAUGCCAAAACUAAGUUUCCCAAGAAUGUGUAGUCCAGUCCAUUUGCAUUUAAAUGUCUAGAAUAGGCCGGGCUAGCGGUGGCUCAAGCCUGUAAUCCCAGCACUUUGGGAGGCCGAGAGGCGGAUCACAGGUCAGGAGAUCGAGACCAUCCCAUGGACAUGGUGAAACCCCGUCUCUACUAAAAAUACAAAAAAAAACUAGCCGGGCGAGGUGGCGGGUGCCUGUAGUCCCAGCUACUCAGGAGGCUGAGGCAGGAGAAUGGCGUGAACCCGGGAGGCAGAGCUUGCAGUGAGCCGAGAUCUGGCCACUGCACUCCAGCCUGGGCGACAGAGAGACUCCAUCUCAAAAAAAUAAAAUAAAAUAAAAUAAAAAAAUAAAUGUCUAGAAUAAUAAAGCCUAUCUGAGGACCUUCAGAGGAUGAGCUACUAGUAAUUUCUCAGGGCCCCAUCCAGUCUCAAGAGUCAGCUUUGUCAAUUAUGAAACCAGCUGCAUAGUGGGCCCCUGCCCAGUUGUGGUGGUCUUUGUGCUUGCCUCCUGGGGCUGUAGACUGAAGUGCAUUGCUGCUCACUUUAAAUUUGAGUGUCUCUCCACUGUUUUCUAACUGGAUGGGCAAAACCUCCCGUAUCUGUUUCCCUCCGUGUUUUGAAGUAUUAUUGUCAGUGUAAAAGUACUGCAUGAAACAAAUUACCUGAAAGCUAGAAAUACCAUAUGUUGUGAAUAUUCUCAAAGUAUUUUUUCUUCUUUCUUAACGUAAGUAAAUGUCAAUAAGCUUAGCAAAAAAAAAAAAAAAAAAAAAA
rnacentral:lncRNA from 1 species